AUUGAACGCUGGCGGCAGGCCUAACACAUGCAAGUCGAACGAGUGGCGGACGGGUGAGUAAUGUUUGGGAAACUGCCUUAUGGAGGGGGAUAACGACGGGAAACUGUCGCUAAUACCGCUUACCAUAGGAUGAGCCCAGGUGGGAUUAGCUAGUCGGUGGGGUAACGGCUCACCAAGGCGACGAUCCCUAGCUGGUCUGAGAGGAUGACCAGCCACACUGGAACGGAGACACGGCCCAGACUCCUACGGGAGGCAGCAGUGGGGAAUAUUGCGCAAUGGGGGCAAGCCUGACGCAGCCAUGCCGCGUGAAUGAAGAAGGCCUUCGGGUUGUAAAGUGCUGUCAGUGAGGAGGCGUUAGUCGCAGAAGAAGCACCGGCUAACUCCGUGCCAGCAGCCGCGGUAAUUC
rnacentral:rRNA from 1 species